UUGCGCAGUAGAGGUUAGGGGAGGUUAUUCAAAUAAAAAGUUUUCUAAUUCACAGGCAGUCUAGAUAUUUUUAUUCUAUCUGGAUUAAAUCCAACUGUAUUCUAGAUUCUAGACAUAGAUCUAGACUAGAAUUGACUAGAUCUAAAUCUAGUGUCUAUUCUAGAUCUAAAUGUUACCCAGUCUCUCUACUCUAGUGAUGUGACAGCUUGAGUGCCUCAAUGACCCUCAGAGCUAUACCAGCGGGAGCUCAUCACUCCAGGGAGGUACUACCAAGCCGGACACGUCUGUUAGGAAAGAGGCCAGACAAAAGGAGAAAUAAAAUUCCAG